rnacentral:rRNA from 1 species
GACGAACGCUGGCGGCGUGCUUAACACAUGCAAGUCGAACGAAGUGGCGAACGGGUGAGUAACGCGUAAUCAACCUGCCCUUCAGAGGGGGACAACAGUUGGAAACGACUCCUAAUACCGCAUACUGAAGGAGGGGAUUGCGUCUUAUUAGCUAGUUGGCGGGGUAACGGCCCACCAAGGGGAUGAUCAGUAGCCGGUCUGAGAGGAUGAACGGCCACAUGGGGAAUUAGAAACGGCCCAGAAUCCUAAGGGAGGCAGCAGUUGGGAAUCUUCCGCAAUGGACGAAAGUCUGAAGGAGGAACGCCGCGUGAGUGAUGACGGCCUUCGGGUUGUAAAGCUCUGUUAAUCGGGACGCGGUACCGGAAUAGAAAGCCACGGCUAACUACGUGCCAGCAGCCGCGGUAAUUC